UGAGGGUCAGGGUCAGGGUGAGGACCCUUUACAGCAGAUGAAGGCCUCUCCCCAGCCAGAAAAGAUGGAGCACACGCUGGGUGGUGGCCCCGCUUCCUCACUGGAAGGAGAUGGUGCUCUUCUUUUUUCUUUCUGAAUUGUGGCCACCUUCAUACCAGUCUGUCAUGGAACACUUAAGCCGCUUGAGUGCCUGCUGGUACUCCCAGCCCUGCCAUGCCUGAGCCCCCUGCACACAAGGAGCCAGGAGUAAUCAGGGCAGACCCAUUAGGGCACGGGGACUUCUGGAUUGUGAAAUUGGCUCUCUGGGGGCCAAGGCCUUCUAACGUUGGUGGAAGUGGCUUUGGCUUAUUGGGUCGGAUUCUAGGCCAUUCGUUCCAACCUUUAGAGACAUCCCAGCUUUCCCUAGCCCAGAGUCUGCAGCCCCUCCACCAUCCCACAUCCUCCCCCUCCCUUUCCUCAUGAACCCCAGUCGCGCCUCUGCCUUCUCAAACCCCUCCACCAUCCCACACCCUCCUCCUGCCCUUCCUCAUGAACCCCAGUCACGCCUCUGCC
rnacentral:lncRNA from 1 species